AGCGAACGCUGGCGGCAGGCUUAACACAUGCAAGUCGAGCGGGCGUAGCAGUACGUCAGCGGCAGACGGGUGAGUAACGCGUGGGAACGUACCUUUUGGUUCGGAACAACACAGGGAAACUUGUGCUAAUACCGGAUAAGCCCUUACGGGGAAAGAUUUAUCGCCGAAAGAUCGGCCCGCGUCUGAUUAGCUAGUUGGUGAGGUAAUGGCUCACCAAGGCGACGAUCAGUAGCUGGUCUGAGAGGAUGAUCAGCCACAUUGGGACUGAGGCACGGCCCAAACUCCUACGGGAGGCAGCAGUGGGGAAUAUUGGACAAUGGGCGCAAGCCUGAUCCAGCCAUGCCGCGUGAGUGAUGAAGGCCCUAGGGUUGUAAAGCUCUUUUGUGCGGGAAGAUAAUGACGGUACCGCAAGAAUAAGCCCCGGCUAACUUCGUGCCAGCCGCCGCGGUAAGAC
rnacentral:rRNA from 1 species